rnacentral:rRNA from 1 species
UCAGGCCUAACACAUGCAAGUCGAGCGCGCCUUCGGGUGAGCGGCGGACGGGUUAGUAACGCGUGGGAAUAUGCCCAAAGGUAGGGAAUAGCCUCUGGAAACGGAGAGUAAUACCCUAUGUGCCCUUCGGGGGAAAGAUUUAUCGCCUUUGGAUUAGCCCGCGUUAGAUUAGGUAGUUGGUGGGGUAAUGGCCUACCAAGCCUACGAUCUAUAGCUGGUUUUAGAGGAUGAUCAGCAACACUGGGACUGAGACACGGCCCAGACUCCUACGAGAGGCAGCAGUGGGGAAUCUUGGACAAUGGGGGCAACCCUGAUCCAGCCAUGCCGCGUGAGUGAUGAAGGCCCUAGGGUCGUAAAGCUCUUUCGCCAGGGAUGAUAAUGACAGUACCUGGCAAAGAAACCCCGGCUAACUCCGUGCCAGCAGCCGCGGUAAUACGGAGGGGGUUAGCGUUGUUCGGAAUUACUGGGCGUAAAGCGUACGUAGGCGGAUCGGAAAGUUGGGGGUGAAAUCCCGGGGCUCAACCCCGGAACUGCCUCCAAAACUAUCGGUCUAGAGUUCGAGAGAGGUGAGUGGAAUUCCGAGUGUAGAGGUGAAAUUCGUAGAUAUUCGGAGGAACACCAGUGGCGAAGGCGGCUCACUGGCUCGAUACUGACGCUGAGGUACGAAAGUGUCGGGAGCAAACAGGAUUAGAUACCCUGC